UUGGAGGGCAAGUCUGGUGCCAGCAGCCGCGGUAAUUCCAGCUCCAAUAGCGUAUAUUAAAGUUGUUGCAGUUAAAAAGCUCGUAGUUGAAUUUCGGGAUCAAAUAAUCGGUCGUGCCUCCGGUACGUACUGGUUUUAUUGGUUCCUCCCUUCUGACGAACCAUGAUGUCGUUAAUUUGAUGUGGUGGAGAAUCAGGACUGUUACCUUGAAAAAAUUAGAGUGUUUAAAGCAGGCUAACGCUUGAAUACAUUAGCAUGGAAUAAUGAAAUAGGACGUUCGACCCUAUUUUGUUGGUUUCUAGGAUCGACGUAAUGAUUAAUAGGGAUAGUUGGGGGCAUUAGUAUUCAAUUGUCAGAGGUGAAAUUCUUGGAUUUAUUGAAGACUAACUACUGCGAAAGCAUUUGCCAAGGAUGUUUUCAUUAAUCAAGAACGAAAGUUAGGGGAUCGAAGACGAUCAGAUACCGUCGUAGUCUUAACCAUAAACUAUGCCGACUAGGGAUCGGAUGAUGUUAAUUUUUUAAUGACUCAUUCGGCGCCUUACGGGAAAC
rnacentral:rRNA from 1 species